rnacentral:rRNA from 1 species
GACGAACGCUGGCGGCGUGCCUACUACAUGCAAGUCGAACGCAGUGGGGACGGGUGAGUAACACGUGGGUAACCUCCCCCUCAGAGGGGAUAACACUUGGAAACAGGUGAUAAACCGCUAUUGAUGGAUGGACCCGCGGUGCAGUAGCUCGUUGUUGAGGUAACGGCUCACCAAGGCCACGAUGCAUAGCCAACCUGAUAGGGUGAUCAGCCACACGCGGACUGACACACGGCCCCAAGAACCACGGGAGACGCCAGUAGGAGAUCUUCGGCAAUGGACGAAAGUCUGACCGAGCAACGCCUGGUGAGUGAAGAAGGUUUUCGGAUCGUAUAACUCUGUUGUUAGAGAAUCGGUAGCUAACCAGAAAGCCACGGCUAACUACGUGCCAGCAGCCGCGGUAAUAU